rnacentral:rRNA from 1 species
UACGGAGGGUGCUAGCGUUGUCCGGAUUCACUGGGUUUAACGGGUGCGUAGGUGGCUUUGUAAGUCAGUGGUGACAUCUCGGAGCUUAACUCCGAAACUGCCAUUGAUACUGCUUAGCUUGAAUCAGGUAGAGGUGGAUGGAAUAUUACAUGUAGCGGUGAAAUGCUUAGAUAUGUAAUAGAACACCGAUUGCGAAGGCAGGUCACUAUGCCUGCAUUGACACUGAGGCACGAAAGCGUGGGGAUCAAACAGG